rnacentral:rRNA from 1 species
GUGGGGAAUCUUCCGCAAUGGACGAAAGUCUGACGGAGCAACGCCGCGUGAGUGAAGAAGGUUUUCGGAUCGUAAAGCUCUUUCGUUAGGGACGAACGUGCUCUUUGUGAAUAAUGAGGAGUAAUGACGGUACCUAAAUAAGAAGCCACGGCUAACUACGUGCCAGCAGCCGCGGUAAUACGUAGGUGGCAAGCGUUGUCCGGAAUUAUUGGGCGUAAAGCGCGCGCAGGCGGGAUAUCAAGUCUGUCUUAAAAGUGCGAGGCUCAACCUCGUGAGGGGACAGAAACUGGUAUUCUUGAGUGUCGGAGAGGAAAGUGGAAUUCCAAGUGUAGCGGAGAAAUGCGUAGAGAUUUGGAAGAACACCAGUGGCGAAGGCGACUUUCUGGACGAUGUCUGACGCUGAGGCGCGAAAGCUAGGGGAGCGAACGGGAUUAGAAACCCCUGUAGUCC